CCUACGGGUGGCAGCAGUGGGGAAUAUUGGGCAAUGGGCGCAAGCCUGACCCAGCAACGCCGCGUGAAGGAAGAAGGCUUUCGGGUUGUAAACUUCUUUUGUCAGGGACGAAGCAAGUGACGGUACCUGACGAAUAAGCCACGGCUAACUACGUGCCAGCAGCCGCGGUAAUACGUAGGUGGCAAGCGUUAUCCGGGUUUACUGGGGGUAAAGGGAGUGUAGGCGGGACUGCAAGUCAGAUGUGAAAACCACGGGCUCAACCUGUGGCCUGCAUUUGAAACUGUAGUUCUUGAGUACUGGAGAGGCAGACGGAAUUCCUAGUGGAGCGGUGAAAUGCGUAGAUAUCACGAAGAACUCCGAUUGCGAAGGCAGCUUACUAAACUGCCACUGACAUUGAUGCUCGAAAGUGUGGGUAUCAAACAGGAUUAGAUACCCUGGUAGUC
rnacentral:rRNA from 1 species